UACGGAGGAUCCGAGCGUUAUCCGGAUUUAUUGGGUUUAAAGGGUGCGUAGGCGGCCUGUUAAGUCAGGGGUGAAAUCUCCGGGCUUAACCCGGAAACUGCCAUUGAUACUAUUUGUCCUGAAUACUGUGGAGGUCAGCGGAAUAUGUCAUGUAGCGGUGAAAUGCUUAGAUAUGACAUAGAACACCAAUUGCGAAGGCAGCUGGCUACACAAAUAUUGACACUGAGGCACGAAAGCGUGGGGAUCAAACAGG
rnacentral:rRNA from 1 species